rnacentral:rRNA from 1 species
UGCAUCGAUGAAGAACGCAGCGAAAUGCGAUACUUGGUGUGAAUUGCAGAAUCCCGCGAAUCAUCGAGUUUUUGAACGCAAGUUGCGCCCGAAGCCAUUCGGCCGAGGGCACGUCUGCCUGGGUGUCACG